GGUGUAGGCAUCUUGUAAAUACCCUCCUCUGUCCAUUCCGUUCUGAAAUGCUGCAGACUCAAGACUCUUCUUUUCAAGUGAUGCAGAGAUGUGACCCAACGGGUCUACCUACCAGGGAGGAGGUGUGGUUUUUACUGGAAUAUUCUGGCAGGCAAAAGAUCUCUCCUUUUGGCUUUCUCCCUGCUUCUGAAACACAUCCCUUUCCAGGAAUGCAUGCUUUCUGAGGCAGACAAAAGAAGAGUUGUUCAAGGAGAAGAAGACUUAGAGACACAGACACACAGAGGGAAGAAGGCCAUAGAAAGACAAAGGCAAAGAUUGGAGUUGUACUGCCACAAGCCCAAGAAUGAGGAAACCACCAGGAGCUAGAAGAAACAAGCAAGGAUUCGUCCCUGGAUUGGUCUUUCAAAGGGAGCAUGGCCCUGCUGACACUUUAAUUUCAGACUUCUAGGCUGCAGAACCAUUAAAGAAUAAAUUUCCUUUGUUUCAAGC
rnacentral:lncRNA from 1 species